CAAUAGCGUAUAUUAAAGUUGUUGCAGUUAAAAAGCUCGUAGUUGGAUUUCUGCUGAGGACGAUCGGUCCGCCCACUGGGUGAGUAUCUGGCUCGGCCCUGGCAUCUUCUUGGAGAACGUUGCUGCACUUGACUGUGUGGCGCGGUAUCCAGGACUUUUACUUUGAGGAAAUUAGAGUGUUUCAAGCAGGCGCACGCCUUGAAUACAUUAGCAUGGAAUAAUGAGAUAGGACCUUGGUUCUAUUUUGUUGGUUUCUAGAGCUGAGGUAAUGAUUAAUAGGGAUAGUUGGGGGCAUUCGUAUUUAACUGUCAGAGAUGAAAUUCUUGGAUUUGUUAAAGACGGACUACUGCGAAAGCAUUUGCCAAGGAUGUUUUCAUUGA
rnacentral:rRNA from 1 species